UAACUUGAGAAAUUGAUAACAGAACACCACGAGCUGCGCGAGGCAAGUCACAUUCGGAGUAUUCUCUUCCGCAUUUUAUUCUCUUUCCAAACAGAAGUGGCAGUUCACGUACAACGGCACCACACAAACAAACUGUGAGACGCGCUAAAUCUCUGGCACCUCUCGAAAAUCACCGAUCUCUCUCACGGCCAGCCAAGAACUGCUUUAAACCCACCGAAGCUGACGAGCUUCAUCUUCCGAUUCCCGAAGCGCAUAAAACGCAAUCUUAGCGACAUCCACGAGGAAAUAGCUCGGAGUAGGGACAGCGGAAUGAUUGCACGAAGAGGCAAUUGUCACGUAAAGAGGAAAACGUGGCACCUCAAUUCGAAAAAUGCCAUGCGCGAUUACGGCGAUCAAUUAAGACCGCGCGGCGGUUCAUCACUAAUUCAUAACGAAUUAAAUGACCAAGGAAAUUGUCAGUGGUGCCGAGGCGAGAUCGCCGCUCGUGCGCCGAUACCGUGAUGCGUCCUGCGAUAAUACGCGAAAGUAUCGAUAUCACCCACGCGUGUUGCGCUUUGAUACAGCCGGCAAGAGAGAGGAUGUCGCACUACGGCGGAAUUGUCAUCGAGUGAACUUUAUUAACGUCUCUCGAGAUAAUGAUCUGUCGAUCCUUUAUUGGCCAACGCCGCGAACAUAUUUGUGCCAAUUACAAGAAACGCAUGGUUAUUACUUUCGCUGAUACGAGUUUACGGUUAUUACGGAAUUAAGCGGAUCAAGCGGAUGAUACAUCCAUCCCGCGGCCGCGCAUAUCGCUCAAUCCGACAAAGAAGCGCGCAUGCCUUUUUGCAAAUCGCUGCAGCGUACGAGAAAUUAUUUAUUACUCGAUUCGCCGCAAAAUAUACGAUGCUUACGCUGCUACUCAUUAAUAGUCAAUCGUUUAAAAUCGCUCGUUUUCCUCGUUUUUUGCUUUGCUGCUAAUCGGCUAUUAAGAUAUCUUGAGAUGGCGAACAUAGGAAGUGUCUCUGAUUAUUAAUAGACGAUUACGUAUUGUUACGUUUUAGUAUAUAUAGUGAGUGGUUCACCACACGGUUAUAAAUAAAUACACUUGACGUAUAGUGUCGCGCAGCGAUUGUUGUAACUCGCGUUCUGCGCGGCAUUCGUGCCUCAGAGCGCUUUAAAAUGCAUCAAAGCGCGGAAUCCAUCAAUCAUCGAGGUGGUUGCGCGCGAGGUGAUUGUGGCGUGUCGUGAGGAGCACAACAGGCGAUCGGCAAAGAACCGUGACGUCUGCGUAGGCCGAAGCCAGGAGCUGUUCAAACAAAAACGCGAUCUGUCUGCGCCGAAAUUGAGAUUGAAGGAAAAAACCCGUUGCGUUGCUGUGAUGUUAGAUAAUUGCGAUAAUUCCGAUCGCAGCCGGCACCGGUUUUUCACGCGCGAUGGAAGUUAACGUGCGAUCGCACGUGCCGCUCGAAAAGCCGGUCAGGGAUAUCCACUUACGUCAAUUUUUUUAGCUGCGAUUACGCCAACCUAGGAUGAAUGUGGACCAUUAGGAUCGUCGUGCGUGUCGGAUGCCGAAAGCGUUGUAAUUACGAAAGCGCGCGCUUUAUGGUAUCCAAUGCCGUCACGAAACGGUCGUUAAUGUUAACUGACGUUAACAUUAGCUCAAACUGCAACCGUACGAUCGGUAAGGCUCGAUGCUGCUUAUUUUAUUCAAACAGUAUCGAAGUAUUCAGAAAAAAAGAUUCGCAGAGCUAAUGAUUGCACGUUGAAUUUUGACGAGCUCUGUCAAGUUCUUCGGUCCGUGGCGCGUAUCUUCUCGAUCUUCUGGAUACGCAUGCUCAUGCACGCGAGAUACGCGCGAUUGCAAGUCAGAGCGUAACGACAGACACACUGUCGGACGUUACUGUAACAAACGGCCUCCUCCGUGACUUGCGUUAACAUAAUAACGAGGAGAAUAAAGAGAGACAGAAGGAGAGAAAGAGAUGAUGGUCUUGGACUUGACAAAGGCCCCGGAGACGAUGGGAAAACACGACAAUCGAGUCGCGCGCGUGAGCGUGCACUAUGGAUUGUUUCGCGAAUGGUCCCAUCGCGAUUCCCACUCGCGUCGAGAUCCGGCCGCCGAACUUGCUCCAAUAUCUAGUGUCACGAGUGUUGCGACCUACUUUCGCGUCCCACUAAUGGUGGCCCAUAUUUUCAUCUUAUCGUGCGUUUUGCGAGCUAAAAAAACAGUAUCUUCUGAGUUGAAUCGAGAGUCUAUAAAGAGAUACGCACUGAAUUCAACUGUCCCAAUAAACGACCAACAAGU